rnacentral:rRNA from 1 species
CCUACGGGAGGCAGCAGUGGGGAAUUUUGGACAAUGGGCGCAAGCCUGAUCCAGCAAUGCCGCGUGAGUGAAGAAGGCCUUCGGGUUGUAAAGCUCUUUUGUCAGGGAAGAAACGGUGGGGGCUAAUAUCUCCUACUAAUGACGGUACCUGAAGAAUAAGCACCGGCUAACUACGUGCCAGCAGCCGCGGUAAUACGUAGGGUGCAAGCGUUAAUCGGAAUUACUGGGCGUAAAGCGUGCGCAGGCGGUUUUGUAAGUCUGUCGUGAAAGCCCCGGGCUCAACCUGGGAAUUGCGAUGGAGACUGCAAGGCUUGAAUCUGGCAGAGGGGGGUAGAAUUCCACGUGUAGCAGUGAAAUGCGUAGAGAUGUGGAGGAACACCGAUGGCGAAGGCAGCCCCCUGGGUCAAGAUUGACGCUCAUGCACGAAAGCGUGGGGAGCAAACAGGAUUAGAUACCCUGGUAGUCCACGCCCUAAACGAUGUCUACUAGUUGUCGGGUUUUAAUAACUUGGUAACGCAGCUAACGCGUGAAGUAGCCGCCUGGGGAUACGGUCGCAAGUAUUAAAACCUUCAAAGGAAUUGACCGGNNGNGAGNGCGACGGACGACGACGAGGAGAGG